GGAGUGUGUAGUGAUCCAACACAUGAGUGGCAUCUUCCUGUGAGAAGGGAAGACUGCAACAAUGCCCAUGUUGGCCAGGUAGUGGAUAUAAUGCCUAAGAGCUAUUUCUCUUGCAAUCAACUCCCGAAAGAGAAUCUCUGUACAGAAACACAGUGAAUGGUCAUUCAUUGCAGACUAUUAUUGCUCUCCACUCCAGUUCACCUUCUCCACCUCAUCUUCUUCAUCCUCAUCCUCUACCAGAAUACUGUUCACAGCCCGUUUA